GAGAGCGAGGCCACUGGUGGAGCUCGAAGCUCUUUCCUACAGUAGGGAGGUACUGCGAUCUGUUCUCAACCUUCGCCGUAGACGGAUGAGCAGAUCGAAAAGGGCCGUCAGAAUCUCCGAAUACACUCGAUAACAACAUAAACCGCGUAUACAGUAACCCUAGGAUUUCCAUCCAUUCGACACAGCUCCAUGGUGACCCGAUACUGAUUUUUAAAGAGGAGGGCAUUCACUGGUUCAGCCGGAGAGGACUCUUGCUGCAAAAGCAGGGCUGAAAGAUGUGCAAUGGAAUGGUAGCGUGUGAGACAAGAGCCUCGCUCGCUCACAGUGUGGCCACCACAUCCCUGCUGCUCCUCCUCCUCGGCAUACUCCCCACAGCCCAAGCUUCAGGUGAGAUUAUUCACAAAAACCAUCUUCAUAUUCCUCCUACACCUAAAUCUUCCAAUGCCAUCCACUCUGACACUCUUCGAGCAUUGAUAUUUAAGAUGCAGACAACUGCCUUGUUGAUUUAGCAGGAAGUAAAAUCUCCUUAGAUUAGGAAAUAUGUAAAGUAAGUUGCAGGAAUGGAGGUGUCAGGCAUUAUUAUUUAAUUUAUCGUUCAUUGUAUUGUAUUGAAUUCGGUUUCUGCAUAAUUCUGAGUCACAGAUGGUUUAUAUUGGGAUGGUUUUUUGUCUGUUGGCAUGUAUGAUUCUUGACGUCGAAGACAAUGGUGUUUGUUCUUUUGUUUGUGUCGCUCUCAGUGCUGUGAUGACAGACAUAACCGCUGGACUUAAGAUACUGGAUGGAAUGAAAUGAGCAUCAUUUCUUUGUUUUCAGUCGAGCAUCUGGGAGGUGUUGAUGGGGGAUGGGCUUUCUCUUGUACGCCUGUUGCCCCUUUCUGUACGAGUCUCAUCCAGUGUCUCCAUCGCUAACAUAGCUCCAUUUCUUGCUCUGCAUGACAAACGUAGCCUGAAAACAAAGACAGAUGUCCAUAUUGACAGGCAGUUGAAGUGUUUCAAAUACCGAGGUGUGUGUAUGUGUGACCUCAGUCACUUGGGUGUUGUGUGUUUGUUUUUAUAAUGCUCAAGUAAUUCUUUAUCCCUAUUCAGAUGGGGCUAGUUGUUUAUAUAUAUAUCUGAGGAGGUCAGGUGAAUGUGUGGGUCAGCAUUUUG